rnacentral:misc_RNA from 1 species
UCCGGUUUGUCACCGGCAGUCAGCUGUGAGUCCCCAACUUAAUGCUGGUAACACAGCUCAAGGGUUGCGCUCGUUGCGGGACUUAACCCAACAUCUCACGACACGAGCUGACGACAACCAUGCACCACCUGUCUCCGCUGCCCCGAAGGGAAGGCCUAUCUCUAAGCCGGUCAGCGGGAUGUCAAGUCUUGGUAAGGUUCUUCGCGUUGCUUCGAAUUAAACCACAUGCUCCACUGCUUGUGCGGGCCCCCGUCAAUUCCUUUGAGUUUCAGUCUUGCGACCGUACUCCCCAGGCGGAGUGCUUAAUGCGUUAGCUUCGGCACUGACGGUGUCAAAACCGCCAACACCUAGCACUCAUCGUUUACGGCGUGGACUAC